UACGUAGGGACCGAGCGUUGUCCGGAAUCAUUGGGCGUAAAGAGCGUGUAGGCGGCCUUUUAAGUCCUGCGUGAAAUCCUGCGGCUCAACCGCAGACGGUCGUGGGAAACUGGAAGGCUAGAGUGCGGGAGAGGAGAGUGGAAUUCCCGGUGUAGCGGUGAAAUGCGCAGAUAUCGGGAGGAACACCGGUGGCGAAGGCGGGACUCUGGGCCGAUACUGACGCUGAGGAGCGAAAGCGUGGGGAGCGAACAGG
rnacentral:rRNA from 1 species